GUUGCAGCUCAGUGGUAGAGCACACUUGCCUGGCAUGUGUGAGGCCCUGGGUUCGAUCCUCAGCACCACA
rnacentral:tRNA from 1 species